GCCUUUGUGGUGUAACGGUAACACAUUCGGCGCGUAUUCGAGAGGUCCAGGUUCGAGUCCCGGCGAGGGCA
rfam:Stegodyphus mimosarum contig15645, whole genome shotgun sequence.